CAGCUCAGACAACCACAUCAGAAUAUACAACAACACUCACCACAGAACCAUCAACGGCAGCAUCUACAACAGCUGAGACAACCACACCAGAAGAUACAACAACACUCACCACAGAACCAUUAACAGCAGCAUCUACAACAGCUGAGACAACCACUCUAGAAGAUACAACAACACUCACCACAGAACCAUCAACAGCAGCAUCUACAACAGCUCAGACAACCACAUCAGAAUAUACAACAACACUCACCACAGAACCAUCAACGGCAGCA